UGUGAGGUGGGAAGUUUGGGCACAGGUGCUUGGGGUUAUUCUCAACAAAAUAAGGGGCACAGACAGCCUCUGUCCCUUGGCUUCUUUCUCUGCCAGAGGAUGUCCUGGUAUGAGUGCUUCCAGCUGAGGCCAGAGACCACCGAUCUGUUGGCUGCUGGUGAUUUGACAUUUUCUCCUCAAAGGCUCCCCAGUGAAGGAGGCAAGCUGCCUGCAAGGCUGAAAGGUACCCGUGAGGGCCCAGCUGGGCAGUGUGGGCAGAGGGCUCUGGGUCCAUCCAGGCCCCGGGUAGAGUGGAGGCCAGGGCUGGUCUGCAGCGCUGGCUGAGGAGGAACCCCUCCCCUAGGGCCAUCAGGUAGGGUGUGGGUGAGGGAAGGAGAGAGCCCUGGCAGGAAGCCGGUGGAGACCAGGCUGGGAAGCACUAGUUUCCUCUUGGCUGGACUGCAGGAAACCCAGCCCUGCUUCCCAAGCUGCUUCCUGAAGAUAAGGUGGCCUUGAUGGUCUCUUCCUGUUCCCGACUCCCUCCACCCUGCCCUAGCCCCCAGGGGACCCUCAGCUGCACCUCUGGCCAGGCCAGUAGCCUUGGGAGGGGCUAUGGGGGGCUUAACUUCCUGGCCAGAGGGUGCACACAGGCCUGAGGCCAGGCUGGCCCAGACCCACAGACAGCGUGGCCUGAGACGCAGCUCCAGCAGCUCCAGAUCCGCCGCAGCUGCCCUCCCCGGUGGUCCGCUACUUCGCCCGCAGCCAAAGGCGGGGCGGCCCCCCGCGCCCCUCGGCACCCCCGCCCCGCGCCUGCGGCCGCCCGGCCGCCACCCCC
rnacentral:lncRNA from 1 species